UACGUAGGCAGCGAGCGUUGUUCGGAAUUACUGGGCGUAAAGAGUGUGUAGGCGGUGCUCCCAGUCUGUUGUGAAAUCUCCCGGCUUAACUGGGAGGGUGCAGCGGAAACUAGAGUGCUAGAGGGUGGGAGAGGUAAGCGGGAAUUCCUGGUGUAGCGGUGAAAUGCGUAGAUAUCAGGAGGACACCGGUGGUGUAGACGGCUUUCUGGACCGUAACUGACGCUGAGACACGAAAGCGUGGGUAGCAAACAGGG
rnacentral:rRNA from 1 species